CCCCUCAGCCCGUCUCUGGCUUGGCUCCAAUGCCAUGCCUGCCUGCCAUGGGGGCUAGCUCCAACCCCCUGGCUGGCCUCUGAAGUCCAUGCCACCACCUCUCCUGGGCAGUGGGGGGAAAAACCCCAUAGCCUUUGGCCACAGGCACCUGGUCCAGUUAUAAUACUGUUCCAGGCUCCCCCGCAGCCCAGCUGGGGUGGGGAAAGAGGGCCUGGUCCCCCGCAAGGGGCCCGCAGGCCUCUCUCUCCUCUCACCUCAUGGCUUCCGAAUCCCUCUCUCUCACUGCCCACAACUUCCUUCAGCUGUUGUAAUACGCUAAUUUCACAGGGGUGAAAUACAGCUCCAAUUGGUCCCUCAUCAGAAACUCACCUGGGACCAACCACUUCCAGCGGCUCAAACCACGACAGGGCAGAGCAAGCACUGGGGUUAGCAGCCUCUCCCUGCUGAGGAGGCAUUUGCACUUAGAGACAUCGAUCCGGAAAGGGAGCAAAAUGGACAGACUAGGAAGGAGCUGCUGGAAUGCACCUUACAUCAGAGACUGCCUAUGGGGAUUGUCCUAAAGCUGUCUUCAACAAAUGGAGAAAAAUGUGUGGGUUCCCUAUGACAGGUGAUCCCUGAAACAGGAAGAGAAACAAGAUGUUCCUGAGAGGCAUGUAAACAGCUGACCUGAGCUUUAAGAACAUGCCAGCAAAUUAAAAAUAUCAAUGCAAGGAA